UACAGAGGUCUCAAGCGUUGUUCGGAUUCAUUGGGCGUAAAGGGUGUGUAGGUGGCGCCGUAAGUCGGGUGUGAAAUUUCGGAGCUUAACUCCGAAACUGCAUUCGAUACUGCCGUGCUUGAGGACUGGAGAGGAGACUGGAAUUUACGGUGUAGCGGUGAAAUGCGUAGAUAUCGUAAGGAAGACCAGUGGCGAAGGCGGGGCUCUGGACAGUUCCUGACGCUGAGGCACGAAGGCCAGGGGAGCAAACGGG
rnacentral:rRNA from 1 species